rnacentral:rRNA from 1 species
UACGGAGGGUGCAAGCGUUAAUCGGAAUUACUGGGCGUAAAGCGCACGCAGGCGGUCUGUUAAGUCAGAUGUGAAAUCCCCGGGCUCAACCCGGGAACUGCAUUUGAAACUGGCAGGCUUGAGUCUCGUAGAGGGGGGUAGAAUUCCAGGUGUAGCGGUGAAAUGCGUAGAGAUCUGGAGGAAUACCGGUGGCGAAGGCGGCCCCCUGGACGAAGACUGACGCUCAGGUGCGAAAGCGUGGGGAGCAAACAGG